AUAAAUUCAUGAAUCAUAUUCAUGUAGACAAAUGUAUAAAAAAUAGUGUUGUUUUAUCAUACUUGUACCUUCCUUAGAGUAUGUACUAUUAUGCUUUCCAACUCCUAUAGGUUUGGCCAUUGGAUGCUGCUUCAUGGUCCUAUCUUCCUCUGUCCCUUCAAAAGUAAAUAAGAUCAUGGAGAAUAUAGAGAACUUCGUAGAAAAAAGUGAAGAUACUGGAGAAUAAGAUAAUGGAGAAUAUAAGAGACUUGCAGCAGUGUGCGCCAUAGCUGCAGGAGGAUGGCUAAGUUUAGGUGGUUCGAGAAGGGCUUCAGUCUGCUAACAACAGGCGGCAACUUGGGCUCGCCGUAGACAGUAAGGUAGUGACACCACUGGAUUAUAUACUUGUGCAAUUUUAAGUGUUACUGUUACAAUACUAAUUAACAAACAGUAUAUCUUAUCAAAAUCUCAUAAUGUGUCAGACUACUGAGUGAUAUUUCUGCAUAUAAAAUAUGUUGCAAGAUUUAAUAAUGAUAUUAUUGACAGAACACUACAACCUGUACAUGUGAACAGGCUUCAUGUCAAAAUGUGGUGAGAAUAAAUCUAAUGCGCACUAACGAUCAGGCUUUCAAAUAAUUAUGAACUAAAUUAUGCAACUUCCAGACUCUUUGAGACGAACUGUCUAAUCACUCUUUAUAUCAUCCGAACAAAAACACACUUCAAAAAUAGGUAUGUACAUAACGGCAAACUGCUAACUUCUUAUAUCAGUGAAUACUGAGAUAUAUAUUCACCUGAAUCAAUUUUCUUGCUAAUCUUAAAAUACUAACCUAAGUUCCAUUGCAUGUAUUUAAGAAUAACAUACGCACUUUCUUAUUUUAUCUAUAUCGAUCCUAUCACAGAGUUGUUGCGUUAUCACAGAAUUCCAUUUCCUAUACGUGAACGCCGUUCUUCAUGGCAUCCACGUUAUACUUACACAGGAUACCUGGUGACCUUUGGAAGCACGGUCUCGAUGCACACUGCUACCACUGAUUAAAGCCCAAGAAAAACAGAAAACCAAAUGAUCAAAAACGUAAGUACCUACAAAACAAAUGAUUUUCCAUUUUUUACAUGUGAUUGGUAAUUAUUUGAAAUAAAUGUAAAUAAAUUGUGCAAAAGAAAUGAAUAAUCCAAUCACCUUGCUUCCAUGGUAUUUCCUUCCAUCAAGUCAUUUGUAGAAUGUACUCUCGAACAUUAAAUAGCCGAGUAUGUCCGAGCAGCAUGCUCCACCGACUAAGCAUGUGACUAUAAUGUUUACUCUAAUUUGUUCUUCCUCCGUAAUGAAACAUAAAAAAUGCUCAUCAAUGAAACGCCUACAUAGUUCUGUAGAUUAUGGGAAAACAGAAUUUUUCUUACCUUGUUUCCAUGUUAGUCUAUGUCUCAUAUUUCCAAUAGGUGGUAUCCAUGUUCUCUGGAUGGAUGAGUACCUUCUUAAUUGGAUUACAAACACCUCUGAAGUAGUAGCAAUUGUGGUUAGACUUGUAGCAGCUGAUUUCCCGUGGCCAUGAAUACCUUAGACAACGUGGGGAUAAUCUUCUAUCUCAAAGUUCCACUGCAGCAGGUCGUCAGGGAGCAAGGCAUCGAGGGAGGUGAGGGAGGGCUCGGGUGCUGGCAUCUACGUAGAUUAAGAAGGAGAAUACAAUGGACGAUGGAAAGGAAGGAGGAGACGUAGAUAGAAAAAUAUUGCCUGGCGAUUCUUUGGGGAUAGAUCGAUCGUGAACUUUCGUGGAUAAGUACGAUAGAGGUAGCCUAGAUUGGUUUUUUUACAUGUACC
rnacentral:lncRNA from 1 species